rnacentral:rRNA from 1 species
AUGCACGCUGGCGGCGUGCCUCAUACAUGCCAGUCGCGCGAACAGACGAGGAGCUUGCUCCUCUGACGUUAGCGGCGGACGGGUGAGUAACACGUGGAUAACCUACCUAUAAGACUGGGAUAACUUCGGGAAACCGGAGCUAAUACCGGAUAAUAUAUUGAACCGCAUGGUUCAAUAGUGAAAGACGGUUUUGCUGUCACUUAUAGAUGGAUCCGCGCCGCAUUAGCUAGUUGGUAAGGUAACGGCUUACCAAGGCAACGAUGCGUAGCCGACCUGAGAGGGUGAUCGGCCACACUGGAACUGAGACACGGUCCAGACUCCUACGGGAGGCAGCAGUAGGGAAUCUUCCGCAAUGGGCGAAAGCUUGACGGAGCAACGCCGCGUGAGUGAUGAAGGUCUUCGGAUCGUAAAACUCUGUUAUUAGGGAAGAACAAAUGUGUAAGUAACUAUGCACGUCUUGACGGUACCUAAUCAGAAAGCCACGGCUAACUACGU